UACGUAGGGUGCGAGCGUUGUCCGGAAUUAUUGGGCGUAAAGAGCUUGUAGGCGGUUUGUCGCGUCUGCUGUGAAAAUCCGGGGCUCAACCCCGGACUUGCAGUGGGUACGGGCAGACUAGAGUGUGGUAGGGGAGACUGGAAUUCCUGGUGUAGCGGUGAAAUGCGCAGAUAUCAGGAGGAACACCGAUGGCGAAGGCAGGUCUCUGGGCCACUACUGACGCUGAGAAGCGAAAGCAUGGGGAGCGAACAGGG
rnacentral:rRNA from 1 species